CCUACGGGCGGCAGCAGUGGGGAAUAUUGCACAAUGGGGGAAACCCUGAUGCAGCGACGCCGCGUGAGCGAAGAAGUACCUCGGUAUGUAAAGCUCUAUCAGCAGGGAAGAAAGUGACAGUACCUGACUAAGAAGCCCCGGCUAACUACGUGCCAGCAGCCGCGGUAAUACGUAGGGGGCAAGCGUUAUCCGGAUUCACUGGGCGUAAAGGGAGCGCAGGCGGCGCGGCAAGUCUGAUGUGAAAGCCCGGGGCUCAACCCCGGGUCUGCAUUGGAAACUGUCGAGCUAGAGUGUCGGAGGGGUAAGCGGAAUUACUAGUGUAGCGGUGAAAUGCGUAGAUAUUAGGAGGAACACCAGUGGCGAAGGUAGCCUGCUGGACUGUAACUGACGCUGAUGCUCGAAAGUGUGGGUAUCAAACAGGAUUAGAUACCCUAGUAGUC
rnacentral:rRNA from 1 species